CAGCCGCCGCGGGAAUACAGAGGGUGCGAGCGUUAAUCGGAUUUACUGGGCGUAAAGCGUGCGUAGGCGGCUUCUUAAGUCGGAUGUGAAAUCCCUGAGCUUAACUUAGGAAUUGCAUUCGAUACUGGGAAGCUAGAGUAUGGGAGAGGAUGGUAGAAUUCCAGGUGUAGCGGUGAAAUGCGUAGAGAUCUGGAGGAAUACCGAUGGCGAAGGCAGCCAUCUGGCCUAAUACUGACGCUGAGGUACGAAAGCAUGGGGAGCAAACAAGAUUAGAUACCCCCGUAGUCCCUGUCUCUUAUAC
rnacentral:rRNA from 1 species